AGAGUUUGAUCCUGGCUCAGAGCGAACGCUGGCGGCGUGCUUAACACAUGCAAGUCGUGUGCGCAGUUUGCUGUAGCAAUACAGCAGAUCGGCGCACGGCGCACGGGUGCGUAACACGUGGGUAACCUGCCCUCCAAAGGGGGAUAACCCGCCGAAAGGCGGGCUAAUACCGCAUGACAUUCCGGUGGCUUCGGCCGCUG
rnacentral:rRNA from 1 species